rnacentral:tRNA from 1 species
GCGGCCAUGGCGGAACUGGUAGACGCGCAACGUUGAGGUCGUUGUGAGAGAAAUCUCGUGGAGGUUCAAGUCCUCUUGGCCGCACCA